NNCCAGCUGACCAGUCCCAAAUAGGACGAAACGCGCGUUCUGGUU
rnacentral:hammerhead_ribozyme from 1 species